rnacentral:rRNA from 1 species
UACAGAGGUCUCAAGCGUUGUUCGGAUUCAUUGGGCGUAAAGGGUGUGUAGGUGGCGCCGUAAGUCGGGUGUGAAAUUUCGGAGCUUAACUCCGAAACUGCAUUCGAUACUGCGGUGCUUGAGGACUGGAGAGGAGACUGGAAAUUCAUGGUGUAGCAGUGAAAUGCGUAGAGAUCAUGAGGAAGACCAGUGGCGAAGGCGGGUCUCUGGACAGUUCCUGACACUGAGACACGAAGGCCAGGGGAGCAAACGGG